CCGAAUUCGUCGACAACCUGGUUGAUCCUGCCAGUAGUCAUAUGCUCGUCUCAAAGAUUAAGCCAUGCAUGUCUAAGUAUAAAUAUUUCAAAUUAAAACUGCGAACGGCUCAUUAAAUCAGUUUAACUCUAAACAGCAAUUCAUUAUUUCGGAUAACUGUAGUAAUUCUAGAGCUAAUACGUAUGCAAAACAUCUGCAAAGGUGUUUGCCGAGGGAUUAUAGGCUAAGAUAAUAUGAUUAUACCCUCGAUGCGAAACCUUCCAUUGGAAGGUAUGUUGUUUGAUAUUCUGCCCUAUCAACUUUUGACGGUAGUGUCGUGGACUACCAUGGUGAUGACGGGUAACGGGGAAUAAGGGUUCGAUUCCGGAGAGGGGGCCUGAGAAAUGGCCACCACUUCUAAGGAAGGCAGCAGGCGCGCAAAUUACCCAAUCUCAAUUCGAGGAGGUAGUGACAAGAAAUAGCAAUGCCUUGGCUCUUAAUGGGUCUGGCAAUUGCAAUGAGCAUAUAUUAAAACUCUUAACGAGGAACAAUUGGAGGGCAAGUCUGGUGCCAGCAGCCGCGGUAAUUCCAGCUCCAAUAGCGUAUAUUAAAUUUGUUGCAGUUAAAAAGCUCGUAGUCUAUGAUGAAACUUUUCGAUCUGUUUAGAGUGCUUUCUUCAUGGAAGUAUCUUUUAAGCUACGAAUUGUUUUAUAGAGUCUCCUAACGAUGGCUAUUAAGUUAGUGUCGCUUUAAAUGGAUGACUUCUACCUUGAGUAAAAUAGAGUGUUUAAAGCAUACAGUUUUGUAUGAAUAUAUUAGCAUGGGAUAGUAAUAAUGAUGAGAAUUUGUCAAUCUAAUCAUUAGUGGUUAAUAGGAGCAGUCGGGGGCGUUCAUAUUCAGUGGUCAGAGGUGAAAUUCUUGGAUUCACUGAGGAUGAACAGAUGCGAAAGCGUUCGCCAAGGAUGUUUUCAUUGAUCAAGAACGAAAGUUAGGGGAUCGAAGAUGAUCAGAUACCGUCGUAGUCCUAACCGUAAACUAUGCCGACCGAGAAUCGGAGGAUGUUAAAUGAAUGACUCCCCCGGAACUCAUAGAGAAAUCUUGAGUCUUUGGGUUCUGGGGGGAGUAUGGUCGCAAGGCUGAAACUUAAAGGAAUUGACGGAAGGGCACACCAGAAGUGGAGCCUGCGGCUUAAUUUGACUCAACACGGGAAAUCUCACCAGGUCCGGACAUUAGAAUGAAUGACAAGUUAAAGCCUUUUCAUGAUUUGAUGGGUGGUGGUGCAUGGCCGUUCUUAGUUGGUGGAUUGAUUUGUCUGCUUAAUUGCGAUAACGAACGAGACCCCCUUUUACUAAAUAGAAAAUACAUAACAUAAAUGUYGAAAGCGGGGACCACGAAAGUAGUUUACUACCUAGUGCAACCGUCGGAAACUGUGGAUAAUGUAUUGAGCUUCUUAGAAAGRAUAAAGCUAAAACUUAAAAAUAUAUAUUACUCGGGGCAAUAACAGGUCAGUGAUGCCCUUAGAUGUUCUGGGCCGCACGCGCGCUACAAUGACAAAAUGGAAAAGGUUACUAGAUUUAACGGUUUCGGUUAAUCCAGUAAUCUUUCCCAUAACCGGGAUUGGUGGUUGCAAUUAUCCGCCAUGAACGAGGAAUUUCUAGUAGGUAUGGUUCACUAAACCAUGCCGAUUACGUCCCUGCCCUUUGUACACACCGCCCGUCGCUUCUACCGAUUGAAUGGUUCGGUGAAAUCCUCGGACUAGAAUUCAUAUUAGGGCAACCUGAUUUGUAUUUUAGGAUGAGGAGUAAAUUGAAACAUUUAGAGGAAGAAGAAGUCGUAACAAGGUCUCCGUAGGUGAACCUGCAGAAGGAUCAAGCUUGGAUCCCGGG
rnacentral:rRNA from 1 species